GUUUAGAUUAGAUAUUAUGGAGAAAAUUCCUUCACUGUGAGGCUGGUGAGGCACUGGCACAGAUUGCCAAGUCAAGCUGUGGAUAAUCCAUCUUGAGAUGCUUAAAGCCAGGCUGAAUAGAGCUCUGAGCAACCUGUUCUAGAGAAAGGUGUCCCUGUCCUUGGCAGGGCGUUUGGAACCGAGGGAUCUUUAAGGUCCCUUCCAGCCCAGGUCUGUCUAUGGCUCUGUGCUCCCCACAGGUCUGAGCAGUAUGGUUUCAUUCCCUUUCCCCCUGAUGUUGGGCAAGAAUGAAUGAAGAUUACUUAAUUACUUGGAAAUCAGAUAACUGCAGGGGACCACAGAGCUGUGCCUGACCCCAAAGCAUACUUGCUUGGCUGAUCCACCCCAGAAGAACCCAAACAGGGCAGACAAAUGAGGGAUUGAUGGUACAGCAUGAGUCAAAGGUCCCUCAGGCUGACCCAGUGGCAGCUUUACCUCUGAGCACACAGCAAGUGGCAGCAGUAGCGCUGCACCUUCUGCAGCCCUGGGGCAGUGCUCGUGGGCAUGAAAUCCCUGCAGCGAGCACCGCUGGACCCGUGCUGGUGAGAGCCGCGCCUCUGUCAGCGCUGCAAGCGGAGCAGCAGCCAAGGUAUGAAGAGAGGGGCUGCUCCCACCCCGACAAGAGGCUCCAGAGCAGCACUGUCCGGCGGGCAAGGCUGGGGUGGGCACGCCAGGCUCCAGCCUGCCCGUGCCAUGCCGGGCUGCCCCUCUCCCUGCAGAGCCCUGCUGCAGCCGCGCUCCCGGGCUGAGCUGCCCUGGUGCGGGUGCCCGGGGAGGGCGCUGGCACCAGCCCCGAGCCGCAGGAAGGGAAUCUAGGUCACAGAUCCUCUCCGAGAACAAGCACAACUGAGGCUGCCAAGGGAAACAAACUGGCAGGAGAAAGGGGAACAAACUGGCUUGGGAAGCAACAGGAGAAUGGGGAGAAGUAACUCAGUGAUUGAAACAAGGACACUCUGGGAAAGCUUUGUAGGUGACUGCCAAUUGUCCAAAAGCAGAGUGGACAACUCCUUCCUUGCUGCUGACUGCAAUUGCAGGAAGAAAAGGUGUCUGUGGCUGGGUGCAAAUAUUCUCUGUACUUUCACAACAGUAGUAUAUGUGGGAAUCCUUGUCUGCUCCAGAAGUCUUAAAGAAGUAUUGGCACCUCUGCCACCCAAGGUAAAUAAUCCCAAGAAAGACACUUGUUUCUCUAGUAUGAUCCUGCUCAGUCUCCUCAAGGAUGUAGCACAAUGCUCGACCCUCAAGGCCAAAGCCAAGCAAUAAAGUGAACUUUAACCUUUGAAGAACAGGCAUGUGUGAAAAGAAAAAGCUGUGGAAACGUUUCUUGAAGACACUGGUGUCAUGCCUAAGGUGGUCCAUGCACUUUCACCCAAGAACUCCUGUUGGAAACCAGCAGCUCUAGCAAAGGAAUGUCUCUCUUUAAUGCCAGCAGCUUUGUGUGGUGACAGGUGAGGAAAAACCCAAUGUAAAACUCAAGACUUAUAUGAACAGCUCCUGUUAACAAAUUGUAUUAGCUGUUCAGCUAAAGGCAGAAAAAAUACUACAGGAGAGAAAAAACCACAAACAUCAGUAUUGUUAUUUUAAAGGAAAUCCAAAUGAUGAUAUUAGUUUUCCCAGCCUGAGAAAAAGCAAAAGCAAACAAACCCAAAGCAAUUUAUUUAGUGUGACAAAGAAGUAUGACAGGAAAAAGUACUUAGAUAAAUCAAUUGGAAUAAUAGCAACACCCAAAGACAUAAAAAGGGGUUUCUCAUUGUAUAGGAGACAAAAUGCUUCACGGACCACAGUGAAGGGAAAGUCAUCUAUUAAAAAAAACCUCAGAAAAUAUGAACAUUUUACAAGUUGUACCAAGCAGGAACAGGAAGAUACACAAUGAAAUGAAAUACCAUAAGACAGCUUCAUCAGCUAAACUUCAAAUGAAACUGGAAAUGUCAAAAUGAAUAAAGAUUAUCCACUUUA